rnacentral:lncRNA from 1 species
UAUUUUUCCUUUCACUUUCGGUUUAAAACAUGCUAUAUGUACUGUAUGUCCUGUAGCCCAGUGCGGCUCCACAGCAUGGAAUCUGAUGUAUGAUAUGAUAGAAUGUGGCACUAAAUGCAGUUUCAGAUUUUAUUUUUUUUAAUCAUAUGAACUAAAAUUGUCAAUUGUGAGGUGUGCUUUUCUCAUCAUGUUGGUUAUAUUGCACAAUUGGUUAUAUUUAUGACCUGAUAUUCAAAGACUCUGGCAUUGAUAGCCAGUGUGUUUUCUUAUUUAACUCCGUUUACUACAUUCUACAUGGUGUUUACGUGAUCCACACUUGAAAUACUAGAUCAGUAGACAUUCACUAAUAUACCAAAAUAAAAUGAAAAAUUGAGUUUUUCCGUG